UCUUGCCGCUGCACACUCUUUGGGUCUGCGUGUUUCUCUAACUGAGCGGUAACACUCGCCACUGUGGUCCACAGCUUCAUUCCUCCCGUGAGAUCACAAACCCUUCGAUCAAGAAAAACCUUCUAUCGGAAGAAGACUUCUCGUCUCAGGAUACUGUCUUAGUUCAAGCUGCUAGAACAAAAACAUCAUGGACAUGAUGACUUAAGCAACAGAAAUUUAUUUCUAACAGAUCUGGAGGCUGGUGAAAGAGGACACUGGAGGGGAUGCUGAAAAGAUCGGGAUCCAGGAGAAAGAAGGAGAAGUGGGAGCAGCAGAGGCCUGACAGACCCACAGAAUUGGACAGAGUGGCAGCUGUUCUCUGGGCAGGGCUGAGUGAAAAUGCCUGGAAAAGGAAGGGGGUGGAAGAAAUCCAAGGCCAUUUGUGCUGCUGGGAGUCGUCACCAGCGGGAGACCCAGCAGGCUGACUUCCCACUGCACUCUACAGGGAAACACAGAGAACAGGGGAAAGAGAGAAGGAAGAGAAGGCCCUGAAGUUAAACAGUGUGCAUUGCAAAGGGAUUUUCAUCAGGCAAAGGACUUUAGAUUUUAUCCUGUAAAGACUCACUGAAGAAUUUUAAGCAAAGGAGUGACACAAUCAGAUUGCCAGUUUAAAGAGUUAUCUGGAAUCAGUGUGGAGAAGAGUUUGGAGAAAGGGAAUAAAGAGGCAGGGAAAUCAGAGCUUCUGACAAAAACCUGAGGCUUGUGGAAGUGUAACAGAUAUAAAAUAAAU
rnacentral:lncRNA from 1 species